GUUUAAAUAGCUUAUGUAGAGCGUGACACUGAAGAUGUCAAGGAGGUUUUUGGACUUUUGAACA
rnacentral:tRNA from 1 species